rnacentral:rRNA from 1 species
CACGUAGGGUGCGAGCGUUGUCCGGAAUUAUUGGGCGUAAAGAACUCGUAGGCGGCCUGUCGCGUCGGGAGUGAAAGCCCACUGCUUAACGGUGGGUCUGCUUCCGGUACGGGCGGGCUGGAGUAUGGCAGGGGAGACUGGAAUUCCUGGUGCAGCGGUGGAAUGCGCAGAUAUCAGGAGGAACACCGGUGGCGAAGGCGGGUCUCUGGGCCAUUACUGACGCUGAAGCACGAAAGCGUGGGGAGCAAACAGG